ensembl:lncRNA
GAGCCAGACAUCCUGGAAUGCGAAGUCAAGUGGGCCUUAGGAACAUCAUUACAAACAAAGCUAGUGGAAGUGAUAGAAUUCCAGCUGAGCUAUUUAAAAUCCUAAAAGAUGAUGCUGUUAAUGUGCUGCACUCAAUAUGCCCUCAAUUCUGGAAAACUCAGCGGUGGCUGCAGGACUGGAAAAGGCAUCAAAAGUACGUGAGCCAAAAACUUCGAGAUGUUCAAGAUGGAUUUAGAAAAGGCAGAGGAACCAGAGAUCAAAAUGCCAACAUCUGUUGGAUCAUAGAAAAAGCAAGAGAAUUCCAGAAAAACAUCUACUUCUGUUUCAUUGACUGCGCC